UGGAAAAAUGUUGGGUGUUUUUGCAAAAUGUCAUCCUCCAACUUUUGGAAGCUCCGGUGGUUUGCGUCUGGGUCCUAUUUUAUCUGAAGGUCCUCAGCUCAGAGAUUUUUGCAUAAAUUGUUUCAACUGUAGCUCAUCUCUGUUACAAAUAAGUGGAAGAGCAGUUUUGUUUUUUCAAAUCCUAUUUGGGUGGCAAACAAGAGACAUGUACCAUAGACUGAAGGAGAUUGUUUGUUUAACCAAUUUAUUAGCCAGUGCACUGUAUCUCCACAUAGAUGGUCUGUUAAACAACCUGCACCUCUAUUACUGCUUAAUGUACCAGGCAUGAUACCUAUGGGGUGCUGCUAUUCCAGUGGAAGUGACAUGUUCAAUGUUCAGUACCCCUAAUGCUGUGCAUUUUGCAUAACCAAGCUUUCCUCCCACUUUUCCCCUAAACAUUUACAUAUGUUUAAAGUAACUUAGCGACAAAUUACAACCGUCUCUUAAAAAUUAUGAGAGUUCUCUGAUCCCAGUGUGGCUGCCAGCUUGGCAGUGGGUCCUACAGCUGAUACCGAAGAAAUAGGGAAAGUAGUCAUGCAUUGUAAUGCCUCCCAGAACCCCCAUCUGUACACUGUAAACUGGUGCAAAAUCUCUGCCGUACUGCAUGCUCUUCCCACAUUUGUUCCCAAAUGUAUAGUUGGCACCAAGAAUCGCACCAGCUAGUGCAACUGUCUUUCAUCAGCUGCUUUGAGGCUGUGAUUUUUUUUGUUGCCAUCUGGAUGUGAUUUUAGAGCAUGACACAAGCCUGAAAAUGCAGUCAUGCAACCGUUAGCUUCUUUUCUCUCUCUGCCAUGCACAUGCACAAUUACAAAAGUUACAUUCCUUUGCUACUCUGAUUCCUUUGUUGAGAAAACAUGAUGUACUCUUGUGAUUAUUUAUUUUAAUCAUUGCUAUUUGUUUUACAGUAGAACCUAGAAGGCCCAGAUGAAAUCGGAGCCGCACUAUGCAAGGCUGCCUACAAACACAUGGGUAGCACAUCACCGCUGCUGACAUGCAGCCACCUCUGGAGUGCACCACAGCAGUUGUUUGGCAACGUUCCACGAGAGUCAAAGAAGGGAAGUGAAAAAGCAUACUAGGUCCAUUUGAAACUGUGGGGAAAGCACCUUUCAUCUGAGACUCUCAAAGCACUUUGCAAACAUAGAUAAAGCUUUGCAACUGUCAAGCUUUAGAUUGGAAAUAAGGCAUAAGCUGUUAACACUAAGGAUGAGGGACAUUGAGGCAGAAAGAGGCUUAAUGACUUCCCCAAGAUCAGGCAAAAGGAAAAAAAAACAGUGGCAAAGGAAGAGUCCCAGCUCCUUAUCGACUGUCCUAAUCAUUAUACACACUAUAUUUUCACAGCACUACAAAAAUAUGAAUACAAGAAACCAAAAAAAGCCAAAGGAAACACAUUUCCUGUAAAUGUGUGAAAAUGGUAUGUUUGGUCUGAUAAUCUUGAACACAUUUCUUUUGAAAGCAUAAUUUAUUAAAAUAAGCACAUGUAAUUUUGCAAUUAUAAAUACAAUAUGUGCAUUAAACACAUUAGUUAAGAAGUUAUGCUUUUAAAACUGCAAAUCACUAACCAAAUGCAUUUUACAAUGUUUUAAUGAGCACUUUUUCAUAUGGUAUUAAUAUCCAUUAGCUAUGUUAAUACAAGUAAUGCUAAUAAUGUACAAAGCCAUUAUUUUGCUACAAAGUCAAUAAUGGAUGGUAGUGAUUCCUAGACUGAACUGCCUGAGAGGGUUUAUAUUGUGUUUAGUGCAAUGGUAAAAGUACCACUGAAUUUCUCUCUCUGUUAACUAAAUUCUGGCUGCUUUCAUGGAGGGUAAUUAUCUGGGUUAGGUGGAGGUCUGUGGGGUGAUUUUGGAGGGGUUCUAUAAAUCAACACAGGUGCUGGGUAGAAAUAGCGCACAGAUGCCCUUCUGUCUUCCAUAAAGCAACACCAGGAUAUAGGGACAUUUCCCCUGUUUUCUAUUGCCUGCUCACUAAUGUUGUCUCAUUGUUUCUUUGCACUUGUCUGUCUGUCUGUAUCCAUCUGUUGUCUCUUGUCUUAUAUUUAGAUUGUGAGCUCUUUGGGACAAGGACUGUCUUUUUGUUCUGUUUGUACAGCACCUAGCACAGUAGAGUCCUUCUACAGGACUGGGGCUCCUAGAUGCUAUGAUUAAACAAAUAAUUAAUAAAAAGAACUAACCAUUUUCAUCGGUACACUAUACGUACCUGCCCUCUCCUUUGCACAGGUAUAAAUUUCACCAUUAUGAGAUAAGCAGAGUUAGGCCUGACCUGCAAAGUUUGGAUUCAAACUUCCCCAGCGUACAUUGGUGGUUGGGUUCUGAGAUGGAUUCAAAGCCAAACUGAAGUCAAUGGAAAAACUCCCAAUGACUUCCAUGGGCUUUGCAUCAGUCCCUUGCUUUGAGCUCAUCUUUAAAUAUAACUUUGAUAUAUUGUAUCUAAAUGUAUUUUAUUGGCUAGACUCUCUUUGGAACAACUAUGAUUGUUAUUUUGCCAGAUAAUCUGGUGAAAUGUAAUAGUUGUUUAGUUAGUGGAUGGAAUGAGGAGUGAUUAUUGGGAGAAAUUCUACUUGAAGUUGUAAUACAAUUUGCAGAUACAUUAUACUGCUUGCUUUAGAAA